GUUCUCGUCUUCAGUGACGGUUUAUAUGGCAGAGUCAGCGUGGGCGAAUGAUGCCUGCCGUGUGCUGGCUUCGUUGAGAUGACAAUCUCUGUGCCAUUUGGUUUGAAUGGACUCUUGAUAAGCUACUUCAAGUCAGUCACUUCAGUGCAUCUGUGUAAAUCUACGACUGACUUUCUUCUUCACACAUAAUUAUACUAUCUGGGUUUUUGUUAAAAAUUCAUUUUCUUAAAUUAAAAGUGUUAAUUGCUUAGAUUCUAACUUGAAAGAAGAUACUUCAGAUCCUGCCAGCCUCACUUGUUACAGAUAUGCCUCCCUUUCCUACUAAACACUAGGAGCAUGGUAACUCCCUUCCACUGACGUCACAGUGGAAAGCUCUGUGCUGUUUUCAUGUACACAUGUGGGCGGUGUUUUGCCCACAGGGAUAGCCCAAAGAGUUACCUCUGUUCUUCUGCUAAUCUAAGUGCCCUGUAUUACUGAAUUGACCAGACAGCUAGCUAUAGAAAUCUUAAUUUUCUAGAUAACCAGGAAAGACAUGAACCCAGGAUUCACUGCCAGCAGUGUUCUUUCAUGCAUUUGAGAGCACUUACCUUAGAAAUUGUGUGUACAGAAUUGUUUGAUUGUCUCACUGCACAAGUGUAAAACACCAGCACGCUUUUGUGGGCUCCUAUUCCUCUAUUAAGACAGAGUCUCCUUGAUUCGCCCACACUGGCCGCAAACCUGUAAUCCUCUUGCGUCAGCUUCCAUGAUUGCUGGAGUUGGAGGUGUGUGUCAGCAGGCUCAGCUUGUGUUUGUUUGUUUGUUGUUUUUUAAUUUUUGUUUUGAUAUUGUGGUAUCUCUCCCUCAGCUUAAAUUAAACCAGACCAAAGAGAACUUGUUUUCAUUAAAGCAUUAUUUUAUUAUGAAAAUAUUCCUAGGUGUUAUCACUGUGAAAUGAAGAAAAGUAUUCAUGCUUGGGAAAUUAUGAGUGAUCUGGCAUUACCAGGACUGCAGUAGAGUCCUACUUUAUUGGAUAAGGUUUUCCGACCCGAUUGUAAGUCUAUAGACAGUUGCAAAAUCUGAUUAAUAAAUUUAAACCAAAGGGCUUUUCCUUUACUCUUGCUUCUGAUCCUUCUAGUAUAGCAAAUUGUUUCUCCUUUCAUAGGCAGUAGAACAAACAGGAAGUGCCUGUUACGUUGAGAUGACUUGAACUGACCUUUUGUGCUGUAGCUGUUAGAUACUAAAAACAAAACACUGAGUCUGUUACAGCAACGCCUGACUUUUUAAAUGCUAUCAGAUCAUAGCACUUACAUGGGUGUCCUGUGAUCAUUGCUGUAGCUGGUGCCUUCCUGGUCCUUUAUUGACUUGCCUUAAUGAUUUUCACAGAAGCCUGAGAGCGGAAGCUUCUUGUGGCCUACUGCAGUGUGAUGAAGGAGUCUUGGGUUCCGUGUAAAGCAAGCUUGUGUUCUGUAUCAUUAGAGACAAAUUCAUUACCGUCUUCAUACCUGUCCAGCUGAUGUCAUUCUACUCUGCUCUAGGGACACUCAGUGUGACCCACUUUAGGUAGUGAAAUGUAUCAUUUUUCCUAUUACUGUAAAAAGAAGUUGUGAACCUUCUUGUUGAUGAACUCUGGUUUUCCUCUCAAUUUCUUAAAACAUUGCUUGAAGAUUGUCUGAGUGUAAGACUGCCUUCUCAGAAAGGGAGAGUUAGUUUGUAAUAUUAAAAAAAAAAUAAAGUCUUCAUGAAAUAAAACUUGGAA
rnacentral:lncRNA from 1 species